rnacentral:rRNA from 1 species
ACGGCUCACCAAACCUUCGAUGGAUAGGGGUUCUGAGAGGAAGGUCCCCCACAUUGGAACUGAGACACGGUCCAAACUCCUACGGGAGGCAGCAGUGAGGAAUAUUGGUCAAUGGGCGCAGGCCUGAACCAGCCAAGUAGCGUGAAGGAUGACUGCCCUAUGGGUUGUAAACUUCUUUUAUAUGGGAAUAAAGUUUUCCACGUGUGGAAUUUUGUAUGUACCAUAUGAAUAAGGAUCGGCUAACUCCGUGCCAGCAGCCGCGGUAAUACGGAGGAUCCGAGCGUUAUCCGGAUUUAUUGGGUUUAAAGGGAGCGUAGGUGGACAGUUAAGUCAGUUGUGAAAGUUUGCGGCUCAACCGUAAAAUUGCAGUUGAUACUGGCUGUCUUGAGUACAGUAGAGGUGGGCGGAAUUCGUGGUGUAGCGGUGAAAUGCUUAGAUAUCACG